rnacentral:rRNA from 1 species
UACGUAGGGUGCGAGCGUUUGUCCGGAAUUAUUGGGCGUAAAGGGCUCGUAGGCGGUUUGUCGCGUCGGGAGUGAAAACUCAGGGCUUAACCCUGAGCCUGCUUCCGAUACGGGCAGACUAGAGGUAUGCAGGGGAGAGCGGAAUUCCUGGUGUAGCGGUGAAAUGCGCAGAUAUCAGGAGGAACACCGGUGGCGAAGGCGGUUCUCUGGGCAUUACCUGACGCUGAGGAGCGAAAGUGUGGGGAGCGAACAGG